AUCUAUGGCCAUGCCACCCUGAACAAGCCCAAUGUCUGAUCUCGGAAGCUAAGCAGGGUCGGUUCUGGUUAGUACUUGGAUGGGAGACCACCUAGGAAGGUGUUGUAGGGA
rnacentral:rRNA from 1 species